AACGAACGCUGGCGGCAUGCCUAACACAUGCAAGUCGAACGAAGCCUUCGGGCUUAGUGGCGCACGGGUGCGUAACGCGUGGGAAUCUGCCCCUUGCUUCGGAAUAACAGUUAGAAAUGACUGCUAAUACCGGAUGAUGUCUUCGGACCAAAGAUUUAUCGGCAAGGGAUGAGCCCGCGUAGGAUUAGGUAGUUGGUGGGGUAAGGGCCUACCAAGCCGACGAUCCUUAGCUGGUCUGAGAGGAUGAUCAGCCACACUGGGACUGAGACACGGCCCAGACUCCUACGUGAGGCAGCAGUGGGGAAUAUUGGACAAUGGGGGCAACCCUGAUCCAGCAAUGCCGCGUGAGUGAUGAAGGCCUUAGGGUUGUAAAGCUCUUUUACCUGGGAUGAUAAUGACAGUACCUGGAGAAUAAGCUCCGGCUAACUCCGUGCCAGCCGCCGCGGUAACAC
rnacentral:rRNA from 1 species